rnacentral:rRNA from 1 species
GACGCAGCGACGCCGCGUGGGUGACGAAGGCCUUCGGGUUGUAAAGCCCUGUGGGGUAGAACGAACUGGCAUCGGGCUAAUAUCCCGGUGUCUUGACGGUACUGCCUUAGCAAGCAUCGGCUAACUCUGUGCCAGCAGCCGCGGUAAGACAGAGGAUGCGAACGUUGCUCGGAUUUUACUGGGCGUAAAGCGCGUGUAGGCGGUCUCGUUAGUCGGGUGUGAAAGCCCCGGGCUCAACCCGGGAAGUGCACCCGAUACUGCGAGACUGGGGUACUGAAGAGGAGAGCGGAAUUCCCGGUGUAGAGGUGAAAUUCGUAGAUAUCGGGAGGAACACCAGUGGCGAAGGCGGCUCUCUGGGCAGAUACCGACGCUGAGACGCGAAAGCGUGGGGAGCAAACAGGAUUAGAUACCCUGGUAGUCCACGCUGUAAACGAUGACGACUGGGUGUUGCAGGUAUUGACCCCUGCGGUGCCGAAGCCAACGCGUUAAGUCGUCCGCCUGGGAAGUACGGCCGCAAGGCUAAAAACUCAAAGGAAUUGACGGGGG